AAGGAGUUUCCGGUCUAAAACAGCUGGAAGGUAGGCUUAGAAGCAGCCAUCCUUUAAACAACGCGUAAUAGCGGACCAGUCUAGAUCGCAGAUUCCGAAGAUGAUCGGGGCUAAGCCUAUUACCGACACCUUGGAGCUGCAUUUUUGGUGCAGUUUGGUAGGGGGGCGGACGGGUUGGUGAGAAGGCGGGCCGUAAGGUCCGCUGGACCGGCCUGUCAUGAAUAUCCUGGUACUAGUAACAGCAUAUCCAGGCGAGAAUCCUGGACGCCGCAGAGCACACGGAUUUCUGGGCCAUGUUCUUCAGCCCAGAGUAAGGCGAUCCUAAGCGCACGGGUAAUUCCCAUUGCGCAAAAGGGAAACGGGUUAAGAUUCCCGUCCUUAUUUGGUAGACGUGGCAACGCAAUGCGCAUUCCUGACGAUUUGGGGUAGGCUUGACAGAGGAGACUCUGUCUAACCAUUGCAAUACAGUCGAGACUCAUUGGGAGGAGAAGCUGUAUAACUUUGGGUAGAUAAUCCAAGCCGAUCCCCGGAUCCCAUGAAAAGGGAAUGCGUACGACCCAAAUAAAUCGUACCUAGAACUAUUACAGGUGCUGCUGGCAGAAAAAGCCAAGGCGUGGCAGGACGACUCAGCUAAGGGAACUCGGCAAAAUAGUAGCUUAACUUCGGAAUAAGCUAUGCCUGCUUAUGUGAAUAGCAUUUGCAGGCCUCAGUAACAUGGGGAGGUCGACUGUUUAUCAAAAACACAGCUCACAGCUUAAUCGGAAACGAUGUAUAUUGUGGGCGAUGCCUGCUCACUACUGGUACGUGAAAACCUGUUUCAACGGGUCGAAGCGCCAGCAAAGAGCGGGGGUAACUCUGACCCUCUUAAGGUAGCGUAAUACCUCGCCGCUUAAUUGGUGGCUUGCAUGAAUGGCAUAACGAGCCUCCCACUGUCCCUAGCUGGGACCUGGUGAACUUACUACUCUGUGAGUAUGCAGAGGACUUCCAGGGGGAAACGAAGACCCCAUGGAGCUUUACUAUAGCCUGAUGUUGUGAUGUAUGGGUGCUAACGCAGCGUAAAUGGGAGCCGUCAUGCGCAUUCUCUCGGGGAUGCGAUAGGCGAAAGUGUAACACCAUUUUAGCAUUUGUACAUUGCUUACGGCAACGGACAGCGUCAGGUGGAUAGUUUGGCUGGGGCGGUACGCCCUCGAUAAGGAAACAAGGGUUCCCAAUGUUCAGCUUAGGUGCGUCGGAAAUGCACUGUAAAGGGUUAAAGACAAAUGCUGGGCUGACGGUAUUCCGAAAAGCGUGGAAUGCCGAGACGAAAGUCGGGCUUAAUGAACCUUGGUGCCCCGUUGUUGAGGGCCCAAGCUGUAAGACAAGCUACCCUGGGGGUAAUUCUACCCGCAACAUUUUUGCUUGGAACUAGCGUUCCAAGGCGCACAAAAUUUUCAAUUUUGUGCUUGCGGUAAUUACUUAGGUAUCUUCAGUUACCUGGAAAGUUCAAUUUAGGAUUUUUGCAAUUUUAUAGCAUACUUGCCAUAAUUUUGCAAGCGGCGCAAAUCUUACGCGCCGUCAAAAUCAUAUUGUUGUUGGUAGGACUCGAAACAGGCUCGUCGCGGGCGAGAGAUGGGCAAAUGCCUAUUUUUUGUGCGUCGAACCUAGGUCUUGUUUUCCCUGAAAGUUCUCUUCAAAAAUCAUUCGAUGAUGGCACUUCUUGACGGCUUCACGGCCUCUUGAAGCUGCCGAAGGCAUAUAUGGUAUUGCUAGCCUUAGCCGGCUGUCAAACCAUACUUGUCGAGUCUUUGG
rnacentral:rRNA from 1 species